rnacentral:rRNA from 1 species
UACGUAGGGGGCAAGCGUUGUCCGGAAUCAUUGGGCGUAAAGAGCGCGUAGGCGGCCCUGUAAGUCCGCUGUGAAAGUCAAGGGCUCAACCCUUGGAUGCCGGUGGAUACUGUCGAGCUCGAGUCCGGAAGAGGCGAGUGGAAUUCCUGGUGUAGCGGUGAAAUGCGCAGAUAUCGAGAGGAACACCUGCGGCGAAGGCGGGUAGCUGGGCCGACACUGACGCUGAUGCGCGAAAGCCAGGGAGCGAACGGG